CAACAGUAUGAUAGUGACCUUCAGUUUGCCAGCUUUUUCUUUCUUCUAAUAUAUCCAAAAUGGCAUCGUUACUUGACUUUCUCUAGGAGCUGAUAUGCUGGAGGCACAGAUAGAGAUGAAAAAUGACUCAGCUCAGGAAGUCUUGUUUGUAGGCAAGGGGAACAUUUAGAAAAUUCAUCAAAGGGCAAUAAAGGUUAAUGAAGUGACUUGCCCAAGGUCACACAGCUAGACACUCUCGGGUGCAGAUGAAGAUUUAAGCAACAAAGUGGGGCAGCCAACAGAUGUCCAUCUGUGAUUAUUUCUGCAAUGGUUCUAGUCCCGGCAGCAAGAGAGUGAAGUUGUUAAAAUAGAAAUCCAGGAACUCUCUCGCCUAGGAGAGCUGAGCAUCAGAAAGAGUGUUUUGACCAGAAGGGUGAGAAAAAAAAAUGGAGCAUUCUACCUUCAGCAGACUACAGCUCUGCCCUAGACUAUUUAAACAUCAACCUGAAGAUAGCCAAGGGCCUGGACCAGAUGAUUUUGAUCUGUUUUUUUGAUGGAUGGUUGGUUUUGUUUUGAGGAGAUUAUGUUAUUGUUGUUUUUAAUUAUGAACUUAACAAACACCAAA